GGGGAUGUGGCUCAGUGGCAGAGCUCUUACUUUAUAUGUAUAAGGCCCUGAGUUUGAUCCUCAACACACACA
rnacentral:tRNA from 1 species